GAUGAACGCUGACAGAAUGCCUAACACAUGCAAGUCGAAGGGGAAGUGGUGCUUGCACCGCGCUAACCUGGGCGGAGGGGUGGGUAACGCGUAAGGAACUUACCUGCGUCACCGGGAUAACAGCUGGAAACUGCUGACAAGACCGGAUAAGGUCUUUAACCUGCAUAGCUUAGCGAUGAAAGGAGACGCCUGCGGAGAGCCUGGCGUCCUAUUAGCUAGUUGGUGGGUUGACGGCCCACCAAGGAGAAGAUAGGUAGCAGGCCUGAGAGGAGGGACGGCCACAAGGCGGAUGAGAUGCGGCGGUUAAGACUACGGGAGGAAGCAGUGGGGAAUAAUGGACAAUGAGGGCCAGAAUGAUGAAGCAAUUCUGUGUGGAGGAAGAUGGUUUUCGGAGUGUAAAGUAGUUUCAGCAGGCAAGAAGGUAGUGACGGUACCUGCAGAAGAAGCGACGGCUAAAUACGUG
rnacentral:rRNA from 1 species